UACGGGGGGGGGCAAGCGUUGUUCGGAAUUACUGGGCGUAAAGGGCUCGUAGGCGGCCAACUAAGUCGGAUGUGAAAUCCCCAGGCUUAACCUGGGAACUGCAUCCGAUACUGGAUGGCUUGAAUUCGGGAGAGGGAUGCAGAAUUCCAGGUGUAGCGGUGAAAUGCGUAGAUAUCUGGAGGAAUACCGGUGGCGAAGGCGGCAUCCUGGACCGAGAUUGACGCUGAUGAGCGAAAGCUAGGGAGCAAACGGG
rnacentral:rRNA from 1 species